GGAAAUUCGCAUUCUGUGUUAAGUGCUUCGUUUAAUUUUAAAAGUUUUUUUUUCUAGUCUAGACUAGAUCUAGAUUCUAAUUAACCUUGGCUUACUACAGAUGAUAUAAUUCUAGAUUGACUAGAUCUAGUCUAGAAGUAGAUCUAGAUCUAGAUCUAGUUCUCUGUGAAGGUGUUGGAUAAAGAAGAAUAAAAAACAACAAAGUUAGAUUGUACUGAACCACUGCUAUAAUGAAGGAAUAAAAAAUACCUUUCUGUGCCUGAUAUCUUCAAGAGCAGCACACCAUUGACUAUGGCAGCAUUGCUCAUCAGGUUGGGCAAUCUUCCCUGUAUAUGUGACAUUAAAUCUAGAACUAUAAUUUAAGUAGGAGAUAUUAAUCUGUUAAUUGAGAUUAUCAUUAUUGAGACCCGAGAGAACUAGCGUGCAUUGAAUCAAAACCUCAGCAAUGACUGCCAGAGUAAAAUUUAGUGUUUCUGUGGAGACAUUUCUGGGACAGACUUUGUGUUUAGUUGGAGAUGAUCCUCAGCUUGGAAGUUGGGAUCCCUUGAAGGCCCUUGAGAUGGAACCAGAAAAUGCAGACCAAAAUAGCACCAAGUGGUUUACGACAGUUGCACUUAACCACAGCACCACUUACCACUAUCGCUUCUUUAUUUGUAAACAAAGAACUCAGCCUGUUACCAAUGGGUACAUUACUCCUCUCGCAAAGGAUGUCUUGGGGGAUACCAAUGAUGGAAUGACUAUUUAUAAAUGGGAAACUAACAUCAAACCAAGACACCUUUCUAUACAGAGUGGAGAGGAGGUGCUGGAAUUGCCAGAAGCAACUUUUGGACUUUAUGAUGGAGAACAGAAUGUUGGUAAAGGUUGGCUCAUCAAUCAGUGUGAGGUGCAGAUCAGACUCCACAACAAUCCAAUCUUUAUGUGGAAGACUAAACACAGAGAGCAAACAUACAGUAUACGAUGUACAGCCAUGGAUUAUUCUUUACAGAGUAACACACCAGAUGAUGAUAAUGAAGACUCAAGAGAUGGACCUCUACCAUGUACAGUGGAUGAUGUCCUAGUUUGUAACCUGACUGAUGAUGAUUGUCGACCAACAAUUCAAAGCCAACAUGGGACAGUGUAUUAUAAAGAUAAUUAUAUUGUAUUUAGAACUCAGAUGACAGACACACAGCAACAGGGAUUUCAGCUUGACUUCUGCUUAUCGGAACCAAACAGAGCUCCUAAAUUCAUUGGCUCUUCACACCUUCUGCCUUUCAAACAAAAAGAAUCCCAGCAUACCAGAAAGUUUCCAAUCAUUGGUUUUAACCACAAGCCUAUAGGGGAGAUCACUGUUGAAUAUCUGAUUGUCAAACCAUGCCCAGGUCUUGUAAUGACUAUGGACACUACCUACCAGACUCACUGGAAGUGGAAAAAAGCUGGGGACACUUCAUUAGAUAUAGGUCACAGAGGCAUGGGAGCCUCUUAUUCACAAGUUAGUACAUUAAAAGAAAAUACUAUAGCAUCAUUUGCAGCUGCUGCCAAACAUGGAGCAGAUUUUGUUGAGUUUGAUGUCUUACUAUCCAGAGAUAAAAUGCCUGUGAUAUUUCAUGAUUUCUCUGUCAAAGCUUUAUAUUCAAAUAAAAAGAAACAUCAUCGCCAAAAUGAACUCUUUGAGAUUCCUGUAAAAAGUUUAACCUUAACCCAACUCCAGUCUAUGAAGUUAUUCUGCAGUGACACAACCUGUGUUGGUAUAAAUGAUGAAGAAACAGAAGAAGAGUGUAAUGAGCCAUUUCCUACUCUGGAGAGAGUGUUAACUGUGGUCGAUGAGAAUACAGGAUUUGACAUUGAGAUAAAAUACCCACAGCAAGAUAUAAAUGAUGCUUGGGAAAUGGAGAAUUAUUUCGAUGUGAAUGAGAACAUAGAUCAUAUACUACAAGUUGUUUUUGCUCAUGCAGGGACCAGAAAAAUUGUCUUCUCUAGCUUCGACCCUGAUACAUGUAUACUAAUUCAGCUCAAACAAAACAAAUACCCAGUACUUUUCCUUCAUCAAGGUCAGACCCAGAUCUACACACCUUACAAAGACUAUAGAGCAUAUUCAUUUAAAAAUGGAAUAAGUUUUGCUUUGAGUGAGCAUCUGCUGGGAGUUGCAUUGCAUUCAGAAGUUCUACUCCAAGAUUUGAGUUUGAUUGACAGAGUGUUGAGCAAAAAACUGGUUUUGUUUGUAUGGGGUAGUGACAACAAUAACCCACAGAUGAUUAAAAGACUUAGAGAUCUCAAGGUGGAUGCCAUCAUUUAUGAUAGGAUUGACUGUCAUAAACCUGAACAUCAGCCAGAGUUCCAGCUGCCGUCUGAGACUGUAGCAGCAUCGUUUAUGAACAUUGUUGAGUCCGAAGAGAGAGCAUCUGUCUUAAUAUGUGAGGCCAGCUGUAGUGGAAGUUUAAUAUCGCAGAGGUCAAGGUCAAACAGUGAUUGCUUAGAUAAUGCAGGUGGUUCUAAAUAAAGGUCAUAGAAAAUUGUAAACACAAAGUGGAUUUCAUUAAAUUUUUUUUAGAAAAAUGUUUUGGUUUGUUUACUAUUUCUGAUUGUUUUUUAAAGACUUGGUUUAUUGUGAUGCUUUUUAAAGACUUGAUUUAUUGUGAUUAUGUAAAUUGGAUUUAAUCCAUUAAUCUUUAGCUUCUUCAUUUAUUUUUUCUUUUGCUUGUUAUUCUAAUAUUGCUAGGUCUGAGGCUAUCGAAAUAACUGUUUUGUGUGAUAUUUUAUUUUUAUUUUUGCCUUCCUAUUUAUUACAUUAUAUUAAUUUAUACUAGUGACAUUUUUCUGAUAUGUUCUUUUUCAAAGCAUUUUUAUUUAAUUUCAAAUUUAUCUAUUUGAAAAAACGAGGUUGUUUUUUUGUUCAUAAUUGAGGUAAAUUAUAAUUAUUUUUAAAAUUACAUAAACAUUUAUACUAUUACAAUUAAAUUUUUUUUAAAUAUCUACUAAUAGGGUUUUUUUAAUCUUUAUAUUAAAAAAAUAGUAUAAUUUAGAAAAAAUCAUUUGUGACUAAAGGAAAUAUCAAUAUUUAAAGUGGGUUAUUUGGCAUAUGACCUGACAUACCACUACAUUUUUGUAGGGUGCAGUCAAUGUAGACAUUGCUGACUAGUAAAGACUAGUUUAAAUAUUUUCUAUAACUUAACUUACAGCCCAUCCCUCCCUAUGGGCUAUCAACACUAGAUCUCUAUAACAAUCCCCUGUCCUGGGUCAUCCUUUCCAUUUCAUUCCAGGUGUAAAUAAACUUUAAGAAGGUACCCACCUCUAAUUCAUGUCUCCAGAUGCUUUUUAUACACCCUCUAACUCGAAAAUGAUUAUUCUACCAUCUUGCUGAUAUCAAUCCAUCAACAACGUUUGUUUGUUCUACAUGCUUCGGAUGUUCCUUCAGGGUUGAAGAUAAUUUACUUCCUAGCCCAAGCCUCCCACAGGAUGUCGAGGGAUGGCAGCAGAGGGGAUAUGAGCCCAGGACAAUCGAGAUGACUGAACGACAUUCCACCGCACAUACCGCACUACCUGGCUAACAUCUGUAUUUAUAGAUCUCAUCAUCAUUAUCUAUCCUUGACUUUCGUCAUAGGGAUGCUGCGACAGUUCGCCUAACCCAAAUCCAUCCACUUUUCCUGGUCAGAAGCUGUUCUUAGCAGGAUAUCAAGAGAGAGGCCGGUCCAUUCUUUUAUGUUAUCCAGCCAGCUUUUCUUUGGACACUUUCCUCGUGUUCCCUCCACUGUACCUUGAAGAAUGACUUUUGAGAGUAGAGCCUAAUUGUUUACUUCAAUUGUUAGCAGUGAUUUGCUCUGGACUCAAAGCUUCAAGCAGGUCCAGCAAUGUGGACUUCAAUAUAUUCAGUCUCACUGUAUCCACUUCUUUAACAUUUCCCAUUGUUUUCUUCAUUAUUAUUAUCAUCAAACUUUCAAGGCAGCAUGAUGGCCCACUGUGCAGUACUAAUUACUCUACAUGAUGCUAACUUUUUUCUUUUAGUAGUCCAACCUUAAUACAAUAAUAAUGGCUUUCAAAUAUCUAGCUACUAAACAAGAGCUAUGAACCCAGUUACUUUGGUUUUAAAGAAUGGCAUAAUAAUAAUAACUCUUGUUUUCUAGUUACCUUUAAAAUACAAGCUGUCUCCCUCUGUUGAUCAAAUUGGGAAACUGACACAGAUGUGAAGCUUAUACAGUGAACAAUGCAAUGUAUAUAAAUAGAGCGAAUGGCUGUUCUACUGAUUUAAUUAACUGUUUAGUUCUUAAUGAGAAAUGUUUAUAGUUCAUGUUAUUUAUGAAUGUAAUGCUGUGUUGGAUUUCAAAACUCUACCUCUCUGUGUCUUAUAAGGUCUACAGUUUCUUAACACUAAUGAAUUGGUUUCCUAUGCCUGAUGUCAUACACAUUUGAAUUCAUUGUCUCCAUUUUUUUUUUAGACUUUUAAAUACAUUCUCAGUUGACUCUUCAUUAUAUGUUCUCUAUUUGUCUCAACUUUUUUAAUAAUCAUUUCUUGAAACCACUAUUGAAACUUGAAAGCUGUUCUUACUUUCCCUGUUUAUUGUGUUAUUCAGAUAAUUGAAUUAGUUGUGAUAAGUCCAUUUUAUUUUAUUCCAUUCGAUGUAUUGGUUUCAUUUCUUUUAAGUAUUUAAAAUGUUUGCUUGCUGAACUAUCUUCUUUGUAUUCCAGAGUUGCCAUAUUAACCCUCCAUAAUUUAUCCUCCUCCCUUUAUUUUUUGUAAGUCUGUCUAAUGUAAGUGCUCAGUUAAUCAAUACUUAAUUACACAAUUGUUAAAAGUAUUUAUGUGCCAAUGUAUUUAUCUUUAUGAGAAAAUGUUUGUUCUAAAUUUAAUAUUAUGUUUGUCUUUUUUUAUAAAUCUAUGUUACUCUUUGGCUAAUAAUUCUGAAGUAAUACUUUUUAUUAGAGUCAAAAUGAAAGAACAAAAAGUAAUGUGAAAUGAAAAUAAAAGAACAAAGUAAUGUGAAAUGAAAAAUAGUUUAUCAAGUUAUUACAUGAUAUUUGAGUGGCCAAAACAAGAUAAUAGUCAUAUCGUAAUAAAAUUACACACAACUGCAGAUGACAACACAUUGAUAUCUUUUUUUUUCCUUAUUUGUUGGUCUUCAGUACUAUACAAAUAAAAAUACACAUUCAAAUUUCUAAACCAAGAAUGCUCUUGCCUAUAAACUUACAAGUAUGGUAUCACAAAGUAUACCUGCCUAUCUAAACGGAUUCUUUUUUUCCUCAUUAUUUAUACUGUCAAAGUUGAAAAGCUUUUUUUUUUUUUUUAAUGCUCGCUACCUGACAUACAGUAUACAUUUUUAAAAUGUAAAAAAAAAAAAUGUAUUUCCUAUGUCUGAUUUUAUUUGUUUCAGAGUUGGUAUACAUGUACAAAGUGAUUAACUCUUCCCAACAAGCUAAUUAAU